rnacentral:rRNA from 1 species
UACGUAUGUCGCGAGCGUUAUCCGGAAUUAUUGGGCAUAAAGGGCAUCUAGGCGGCCGGAUAAGUCUGGGGUGAAAACUUGCGGCUCAACCGCAAGCCUGCCCUGGAAACUAUGCGGCUAGAGUACUGGAGAGGUGGACGGAACUGCACGAGUAGAGGUGAAAUUCGUAGAUAUGUGCAGGAAUGCCGAUGAUGAAGAUAGUUCACUGGACGGUAACUGACGCUGAAGUGCGAAAGCCGGGGGAGCAAACAGG